GAUGAACGCUGGCGGCGUGCCUAAUACAUGCCAGUCGAGCGAACAGACGAGGAGCUUGCUCCUUCGACGUUAGCGGCGGACGGGUGAGUAACACGUAGGUAACCUACCUAUAAGACUGGGAUAACUUCGGGAAACCGGAGCUAAUACCGGAUAAUAUUUCGAACCGCAUGGUUCGAUAGUGAAAGAUGGCUUUGCUAUCACUUAUAGAUGGACCUGCGCCGUAUUAGCUAGUUGGUAAGGUAACGGCUUACCAAGGCAACGAUACGUAGCCGACCUGAGAGGGUGAUCGGCCACACUGGAACUGAGACACGGCCCAGACUCCUACGGGAGGCAGCAGUAGGGAAUCUUCCGCAAUGGGCGAAAGCCUGACGGAGCAACGCCGCGUGAGUGAUGAAGGUCUUCGGAUCGUAAAACUCUGUUAUUAGGGAAGAACAAACGUGUAAGUAACUGUGCACGUCUUGACGGUACCUAAUCAGAAAGCCACGGCUAACUACGUG
rnacentral:rRNA from 1 species